AACGGCCGUACCAUGCUGAAUAUACCGGUUCUCGUUAGAUCACCGAAGUCAAGCAUCAUUGGGCACGGUCAGUACUUGGGUGGGUGACCACCUGGGAACACCGCGUGCC